UGGCGGUAGGCCUAACACAUGCAAGUCGAACGGUAACGGACCGCUGGGAUCCCUUCGGGGUGACCUUGGUGCCGACGAGUGGCGGACGGGUGAGUAACACGUAGGAAUCUGCCCAACAGUGGGGGACAACCCGGAGAAAUCCGGGCUAAUACCGCAUACGCCCUAUGGGGGAAAGCGGGGGAUCUUCGGACCUCGCGCUGUUGGAGGAGCCUGCGUCGGAGUAGCUUGUUGGUGAGGUAACGGCUCACCAAGGCGACGAUCCGUAGCUGGUCUGAGAGGAUGAUCAGCCACACUGGGACUGAGACACGGCCCAGACUCCUACGGGAGGCAGCAGUGGGGAAUAUUGCACAAUGGGCGAAAGCCUGAUGCAGCCAUACCGCGUGUGUGAAGAAGGCCCUCGGGUUGUAAAGCACUUUCGUUAGGGAAGAAAGGUGCGGAGUUAAUAACCUCCGUACUGUGACGGUACCUAAAUAAGAAGCACCGGCUAACUCCGUGCCAGCAGCCGCGGUAAUACGGAGGGUGCAAGCGUUAAUCGGAAUCACUGGGCGUAAAGCGCGCGUAGGCGGUUUGGUCAGUCAGAUGUGAAAGCCCUGGGCUCAACCUGGGAACUGCAUUUGAUACUGCCAGACUAGAGUGUAGUAGAGGGAAGCGGAAUUCCGAGUGUAGCGGUGAGAUGCGUAGAUAUUCGGAGGAACAUCAGUGGCGAAGGCGGCUUCCUGGACUAACACUG
rnacentral:rRNA from 1 species